GGAGAGGAAUAGAAUAGAAAGAGAGGAGAGGAGAGGAAGGAAUAGAAAGAGAGAGAGAGGAGUAGAAUAGAAAGAGAGGAGAGGAGAGGAAUAGAAUAGAAAGAGAGGAGAGGAGAGGAGAGGAAUAGAAUAGAAAGAGAGGAGAGGAGAGGAGAGGAAUAGAAAGAGAGGAGAGGAGAGGAAUAGAAAGAGAGGAGGGAGUAGAAUAGAAUAGAAAGAGAGGAGAGGAGAGGAAUAGAAAGAGAGGAGAGGAGUAGAAUAGAAAGAGAGGAGAGGAGAGGAGUAGAAUAGAAAGAGAGGAGAGGAGAGGAAUAGAAAGGGAGGAGAGGAGAGGAAUAGAAAGGGAGGAGAGGAGAGGAAUAGAAAGGGAGGAGAGGAAUAGAAAGAGAGGAGAGGAAUAGAAAGAGAGGAGGGGAGUGGAAUAGAAAGAGAGGAGAGGAAUAGAAAGGGGUCAAUGUUAUAACUGGAGAACUGGGGC
ensembl:lncRNA